GUGGGGAGACCUGCCGUGGAGAUUCCUGGCGAGGCCAUAGAAGGGUAUCGUAUGGGCUAAACGUUAAAGAUAUCGCGGCCUUGUAUGGAGUUAGUCGAUGGACGGUACAUCGACGAAUGCAGCAGUGUGGACUGAAAGUUUCAGAGUUGUACUCUGGCAUUGACAAUACAGAACUGGACCGUUUGGUGAUGGAGAUUCAAAGGGAGCACCCACAGUGUGGGUACCGUAUGAUGAGAGCUUUUCCCUAAGCAUGUGGACAUUUGAUUCAGUUUUUUAGGGUACGUGAAUCACUACACAGAGUGGACCCAGAGGGAACACAACUUCGAGCCCAGACUAACCGGACUCUUCAUCGCAGACAGUACUCCGUUCCUGGUCCGAAUUGCAUGUGGCCUAUAGAUGGAAAUCAUAAAUUAAUACGAUGGCGAUUCAUGAUCCAUGGAGGCAUUGAUGGGUUUAGUCGUCUUGUAGUUUAUCUGAAUGCUGCUACUAACAAUAAUGCCACCACUGUGCUUGAUGCUUUCCUUGGUGCUGUUAGCCAGUAUGGGUUGCCAUCUCGUGUUCAUUCAGAUAAAGGAGAAAACAUUGAGGUUGCUCAAUUUAUGGUUCAGAACCGCGGAGAAAACCGGAAUUCACACAUUACGGGAAGGAGCGUUCACAAUCAGAGGUAGAUGAAAAAGUAUUUGUAUGGUU